rnacentral:tRNA from 1 species
UGCCGGAAAGCGCUCGGCUGCCGCUCGCGACUUCCUUGCGCGCGCCGCUCACGUGUUUGAGCGAGGCGCGGUUCGGGAUCGUGUUCGGCGC